rnacentral:sRNA from 1 species
CAGUCAAAUCCGUCUUUGACGGGUGAAAUCCACCUUUGGUGGAUGAAAUCGCUGUCGCGAUGAAAUCCUGC